rnacentral:rRNA from 1 species
AGAGUUUGAUCAUGGCUCAGGAUGAACGCUGGCGGCGCGCCUAACACAUGCAAGUCGAACGGUUAAAGCACCUCCGGGUGUGCAUAGAGUGGCGAACGGCUGAGUAACACGUGGGCAACCUGCCCCCCUCAUCGGGAUAGCCUCGGGAAACCGUGGGUAAUACCGAAUACUCCGGCACCCCCCGCAUGGGGGAGCCGGGAAAGCUCCGGCGGAGGGGGAUGGGCCCGCGGCCUGUUAGCUUGUUGGCGGGUAACGGCCCACCAAGGCGAUUAUGGGUAGCCGGGUUGAGAGACCGACCGGCCAGAUUGGGACUGAGACACGGCCCAGACUCCUACGGGAGGCAGCAGUGGGGAAUCUUGCACAAUGGGCGAAAGCCUGAUGCCAGCGACGCCGCGUGCGGGACGAAGGCCUUCGGGUUGUAAACCGCUUUCAGCAGGGACGAGGCCGCAAGGUGACGGUACCUGCAGAAGAAGCCCCGGCUAACUACGUGCCAGCCGCAGC